rnacentral:rRNA from 1 species
GACGAACGCUGGCGGCGUGCUUAACACAUGCAAGUCGAACGGAAAGGCCCUGCUUUUGUGGGGUGCUCGAGUGGCGAACGGGUGAGUAACACGUGAGUAACCUGCCCUUGACUUUGGGAUAACUUCAGGAAACUGGGGCUAAUACCGGAUAGGAGCUCCUGCUGCAUGGUGGGGGUUGGAAAGUUUCGGCGGUUGGGGAUGGACUCGCGGCUUAUCAGCUUGUUGGUGGGGUAGUGGCGUACCAAGGCAUUGACGGGUAGCCGGCCUGAGAGGGUGACCGGCCACAUUGGGACUGAGGUACGGCCCAGACUCCUAAGGGAGGCAGCAGUGGGGAAUAUUGCACAAUGGGCGGAAGCCUGAUGCAGAAACGCCGCGUGCGGGAUGACGGCCUUCGGGUUAUAAACCGCUUUCGCCUGUGACGAAGCGUGAGUGACGGUAAUGGGUAAAGAAGCACCGGCUAACUACGUG